CGCACUAAGCUGGGAGUUGUUUCUCGGAGAAUAAACCACCCGAGGGAAGUGUACGGAAUCUUUGCUGGCGAGUCAUUCGUAUUAAUGCUGAACUUGGACGUCCUAAGUUUUCUCUUCCACCCCUGUUUGUGAAGAAUCUGGGGAGUUUGUGAGUGCAAACAUAUAUAUUUUUUUCAGCUGUGUGCGGUUGCCACGGUACACCUUCUCCUGCCGGGUAAAUGCAAUUUCAAAACUUACGGAAAAGUAAAAGGAACUCAGAAAAGUGCGGAUUUGGCCCCAAGGUCCAAACUACGGCCCGCUUUGCUCCUGCCUUAUCCGCACUCAGACGCCACACGCUUUUUGGAGCUGGUCUGUCCAGAAGCUGUUUCUUAAGAACGACUGGUCAUGGUGCGUCUGGGCCGUGAGUAACGUGCCCAGCUGUUUUCUGCGCUUAAUUAACCAAGUCUGCAUGAUCUGAUUAACCCAGAUGUUAGAACAUUGAUCCCAGAGAAAGAAGAAACCAUCUGUGGAAUUUACCCCUGGAUGGACCUCUCAGUUGCUUGAUCUGAUGUCCUGAGAAUCCCAGAAUCCAAGGAGAACCCAGCAGCUUUUCACUGAGCAAGGAACUGAUCACACUAAAGUCUCCUGUCCAGUGGUCCCCCUCCCAUAGCCAGAGUUCACAGUCAAGCUGACACCGCUGCCUUCUCAGGCCUAGGAACGGCAGUGGCUUUUCUUCUCAUGUUGCUUCAGGGGACACGGGUUCGAGCCCUGGUCCGGGAAGAUCCCACAUGCUGUGGAGCAACUAAGCCUGUGCACCACAGCUACUGAGCCUGUGCUCUACAGCCUGCAAGCCACAACUACUGAGCCCGAGAUCCACAACUACUGAAGCCCACACACCUGAAGCCUGUGCUCUGCGACAAGAGAAGCCACCGCAAUGAGAAGCCUGUGCACCGCAGCGAAGAGUAGCCCCUGCUCACCACAACUAGAGAAAGCCCUCACACAGCAACAAAGACCCAACACAACCAAAAAUAAAUAAAAUAAAUUAAUUUUAAAAAAGCUUAAAAAUUAACAAUAAAGACUUCAUUUGGACUUAGAGAA